UACGAAGGGGGCUAGCGUUGCUCGGAAUCACUGGGCGUAAAGGGUGCGUAGGCGGGUUUUUAAGUCAGGGUGAAAUCCUGGAGCUCAACUCCAGAACUGCCUUUGAUACUGAAGAUCUUGAGUCCGGGAGAGGUGAGUGGAACUGCGAGUGUAGAGGUGAAAUUCGUAGAUAUUCGCAAGAACACCAGUGGCGAAGGCGGCUCACUGGCCCGGUACUGACGCUGAGGCACGAAAGCGAUGGGGGAGCAAACAGGG
rnacentral:rRNA from 1 species